rnacentral:rRNA from 1 species
UACGGGGGGGGCAAGCGUUGUUCGGAAUUACUGGGCGUAAAGGGCUCGUAGGUGGCCAACUAAGUCAGACGUGAAAUCCCUCAGCUUAACUGGGGAACUGCGUCUGAUACUGUAGGGCUUGAGUACUGAUGAGGUAGGCGGAAUUGAUAGUGUAGCGGUGAAAUGCAUAGAUAUUAUCAAGAACACCGAUUGCGAAGGCAGCUUACUAAGGAGUUACUGACACUGAGGCACGAAAGCGUGGGGAUCAAACAGG